GCCUGGGUGGCUCAGUUGGUUGAGCAUGCGACUUUGGCUCGUAAGUUCGUGGGUUCGAGCCCCGCGUCAGGCU